AAGCACCUGCGAUGGGUUGCAUCGUCAACUGUGACAGCAGGAUUGGUAUAAGUAACCCUCAAGCGCUUCACCACACCACGAUCGCAGAGUCCAGAUAUUCACAAAAUAAAGCAUACCAAGUACCAACACUGAUGCAAAGGAACUUAAUGCAUGUAUGACAAGGCCAAAGUGAAGGAA